CCUACGGGAGGCAGCAGUGAGGAAUAUUGGUCAAUGGGCGCGAGCCUGAACCAGCCAAGUCGCGUGAGGGAAGACGGUCCUAUGGAUUGUAAACCUCUUUUGUCGGGGAGCAAACGACGCCACGCGUGGCGUUCCGAGAGUACCCUAAGAAAAAGCAUCGGCUAACUCCGUGCCAGCAGCCGCGGUAAUACGGAGGAUGCGAGCGUUAUCCGGAUUUAUUGGGUUUAAAGGGUGCGCAGGCGGACGAUCAAGUCAGCGGUAAAAUUGAGAGGCUCAACCUCUUCGAGCCGUUGAAACUGGUUGUCUUGAGUGAGUGAGAAGUAGGCGGAAUGCGUGGUGUAGCGGUGAAAUGCAUAGAUAUCACGCAGAACUCCGAUUGCGAAGGCAGCAUACCGGCGCUCAACUGACGCUCAUGCACGAAAGUGUGGGUAUCGAACAGGAUUAGAUACCCGGGUAGUC
rnacentral:rRNA from 1 species